GUAGGGAAUAUUGGGCAAUGGGUGCAAGCCUGACCCAGCCAUCCCGCGUGCCGGAUGAAGGCCCUCUGGGUCGUAAACGGCUUUUGACGGUGAAGAACCGAAAGGGUGCGCCCUUUUUUGACGGUAGCCGUUGAAUAAGCACCGGCUAACUCCGUGCCAGCAGCCGCGGUAAUACGGUGGGUGCGAGCGUUGUCCGGAUUUAUUGGGUUUAAAGGGUGCGUAGGCUGGAGGGACAGUCAGCGGUGAAAAGCAGUUGCUCAACAAGUGUCUUGCCGCAGAUACUACCUUUCUUGGAUUGGGAGGAGGUUACCGGAACGGAUGGUGUAGCGGUGAAAUGCAUAGAUAUCAUCCAGAACGCCAAUUGCGAAGGCAGGUAACUGUACCUAUAUCGACGCUGAUGCACGAAAGCAUGGGUAGCGAACAGGAUUAGAAACCCGUGUAGUCC
rnacentral:rRNA from 1 species